rnacentral:misc_RNA from 1 species
CUCCAAGAUUCAGAACUUAAAUUCCAUUUCCAAAAUUAUCUUCAAAUUUGCACAAUUGGAAACGAAAAAUUGCUGCAAUGUCAGGAUUACUCCUCACAGCCAAUUUGCAACAGCUUAAAACUACCGUACUUCUAUUGUUCUACUCCCUUACAAACGCUAUCUAUUUAACAAAUAAGCAUAAAGACUAAGAAAAACACAAUCCAGUUCUGGAACUGCUACUAUUUCAGACCCUGGAUGCUGCAUUUCAACCGGAGAGCUGGAUCUCAGAUGGCUUCACUACUUCAUCGUCUUCUUUGCUUCGUUUAGGAGUGGUCCCAUAGUAACAACCAUAAAGUAUGAGCUGUGCAGCGCCUGCCAGUGCUCCGAGACCGUUGCUAACCAGUAUAAAGGGAUCAAAUUUGAUGAGGGCAUAAGCUGCCCAUAUGCAGCCAUUUGCAAAGCCAGCCAGCGAGAGAUACAGUGGCAUGUAUUCGACACUCUUUGUGGUAAUAACUUUUUUCAUGAUAGCAAGAGGUGAACUGUACAUCAGAACAUUAAGCACAUCACAGAAAAUUCCGACGAAAAGGGUUCUUCUCUUAUGAGUGUGGAAACCCAGCAAGGUGCCGAUGACUAUAAUUGCCAUGACAAAUACUUCGACAGCAAGAGCAUAAGCAACUUGUUUCCUUCCUUUGCCCCUUUUGUCAUAUAUGCAGAAAAUGACUAAAUAGAUCAACUCCAGUGCAAGGCCAAUAGCAUUGAUGGUGGUAACAAGGAUGCUGUCAGGUUUAACAAUGGGCAGACCAUAGAAGACCCAUAACAUACAAUUCAUCACCGUUACAAUAUAUGGAAUAAACUGAAAUUCCUCAACAUCUUUCCUCUUCCAUAUGCGAUAGAAUGUUGGACUGUAGCACCAUUAUUUCAAAUUGGAAUCAUCAUUUAUGUGGACGAGAACUUGAACUAUUAUCAAAAUGCAUAAGCAAAAUGAAAUCGGCAUGACCAACCAGAGAUCGUUGUCUGGCAGGAAAAAAAACUUGAGCAGGGUACAAAUUCAACAAAAUGGUGAGAAACCCAGUUUAAGAAAAAAUUUCAACCUUCAACAUUGAAACUACAAUUUGAUAUGCAAAAGACAAAAGAGAAAUUUCAAGCAGGGGAUGAUAAACAGAGGGAGAGAAUUUUUACACUGGCGAGAGGAAAAGGCCGAAAGAGAUGACAUUCCCUAUAAUGCCUACGACAUUGCGAGCAGCUUCGGCGCUCAGCAUUUUUUAAUCUCUGAGGUAGAAAGGGAUUGAUCUCUCUGAAGAGUAUAGGUUUUGGGAUAGAGUAAAGAUAAAGGGAGACGUGGG